GAUGAACGCUGGCGGCGUGCCUAAUACAUGCAAGUCGAGCGAACAGACGAGUAGCUUUCUCCUCUGACGUUAGCGGCGGCCGGCUGAGUAACACCUCGAUAACCUCCCUCUAACACUGGGUGAACAUCCGCAUAACAGAGCGACUACUAGGUGAUAUAUUGAGCCGCUUGGUUCAAUAGUUAAAGACGGUUUUUGUGUCACUUAUAGAUGGGCUCGCGGCGUAUUAGCUAGUUGGUAAGGUAACGGCCUACCAAGGCGAUGGUGCGUAGCCGGCCUGAUAGGGGGGUCGACCACAAAGGUACUGAGGAGCGGUCGAGACUACUACGGGAGGCAGCAGUAGGGAGUCUUCCAGAAUGGGCGGAGGCCGGACGGAGCAACGCCGCGGGGGGGAUGAAGGUCUUCGGAUCGUAAAGCUCUGUUAUUAGGGAAGAAGAAAUGUGUAAGUAACUAUGCACGUCUUGACGGUAGCUAGUCAGAAAGCGCCGGCUAACUACGUG
rnacentral:rRNA from 1 species